UAAUACGAAGGGGGCUAGCGUUGUUCGGAAUUACUGGGCGUAAAGCGCACGCAGGCGGAUUGAUUAGUCGGGGGUGAAAUCCCGGGGCUCAACCUCGGAAUUGCCUUCGAUACUGUCAGUCUUGAGUCCGGGAGAGGUGAGUGGAAUUCCUAGUGUAGAGGUGAAAUUCGUAGAUAUUAGGAAGAACACCAGUGGCGAAGGCGGCUCACUGGCCCGGUACUGACGCUCAUGUGCGAAAGCGUGGGGAGCAAACAGGAUUAGAUACCCUGGUAGUCCACGCCGUAAACGAUGGAUGCUAGCCGUUGGGGAGCUUGCUCUUCGGUGGCGCAGCUAACGUAUUAAGCAUCCCGCCUGGGGAGUACGGUCGCAAGAUUA
rnacentral:rRNA from 1 species